rnacentral:rRNA from 1 species
AGUGAACGCUGGCGGUAGGCCUAACACAUGCAAGUCGAACGGCAGCACAGUAAGAGCUUGCUCUUACGGGUGGCGAGUGGCGGACGGGUGAGGAAUACAUCGGAAUCUACUUUUUCGUGGGGGAUAACGUAGGGAAACUUACGCUAAUACCGCAUACGACCUACGGGUGAAAGCAGGGGAUCUUCGGACCUUGCGCGAUUGAAUGAGCCGAUGUCGGAUUAGCUAGUUGGCGGGGUAAAGGCCCACCAAGGCGACGAACCGUAGCUGGUCUGAGAGGAUGAUCAGCCACACUGGAACUGAGACACGGUCCAGACUCCUACGGGAGGCAGCAGUGGGGAAGAUUGGACAAUGGGCGCAAGCCUGAUCCAGCCAUACCGCGUGGGUGAAGAAGGCCUUCGGGUUGUAAAGCCCUUUUGUUGGGAAAGAAAAGCAGCAGGUUAAUACCCCGCUGUUCUGACGGUACCCAAAGAAUAAGCACCGGCUAACUUCGUG